rnacentral:rRNA from 1 species
GAGCACGUAGGUGGGUUUGUAAGUCAGAUGUGAAAGCCCUCUGUUCAACGGAAGAAUUGCAUCUGAAACUGCGAGUCUUGAGUGUAGGAGGGGAGAAUGGAACUUCUGGUGGAGCGGUGAAAUGCGUAGAUAUCAGAAGGAACGCCGGCGGCGAAAGCGAUUCUCUGGCCUAUUACUGACACUCAGUGUGCGAAAGCUAGGGGAGCAAACGGGAUUAGAUACCCCGGUAGUCCUAGCCGUAAACGAUGGGCACUAAGUAGAGGGG